CCUACGGUGCGCAGCAGUCGAGAAUCAUUCACAAUGGGGGAAACCCUGAUGGUGCGACGCCGCGUGGGGGAAUGAAGGUCUUCGGAUUGUAAACCCCUGUCAUGUGGGAGCAAAUUAAAAAGAUAGUACCACAAGAGGAAGAGACGGCUAACUCUGUGCCAGCAGCCGCGGUAAUACAGAGGUCUCAAGCGUUGUUCGGAAUCACUGGGCGUAAAGCGUGCGUAGGCUGUUUCGUAAGUCGUGUGUGAAAGGCGCGGGCUCAACCCGCGGACGGCACAUGAUACUGCGAGACUAGAGUAAUGGAGGGGGAACCGGAAUUCUCGGUGUAGCAGUGAAAUGCGUAGAUAUCGAGAGGAACACUCGUGGCGAAGGCGGGUUCCUGGACAUUAACUGACGCUGAGGCACGAAGGCCAGGGGAGCAAAUAGGAUUAGAUACCCCUGUAGUC
rnacentral:rRNA from 1 species